GGUUCCGUGUAGAGGCAGAGAGAGUAGGGUUUUGUGAGGUAGAGAGCGCUAGGGUUCGUAUGGAGGCAGAGAGCGUUAGGGUUCAUGUGAGGCAGACAUCGCAAGGGUUCGUGUGAGGCAGAGAGCACUAGGUUCGUGUGGAAGCAGCGAACGCUAAGGUUCGUGUGAGGCAGAGAGCGCUAGGUUCGUGUGGAAGCAGCGAGCACUAGGGUUCAUGUGACGCAGACAUCGCUAGGGUUUGUGUGAGGCAGCGAGCGUUAGGGUUCGUGUGAGGCAGCGAGCGCUAGGGUUCAUGUGAG
rnacentral:lncRNA from 1 species